CCUGAACCUGAGACACAGAUCUUUUCACUCCACUGCACGAACAGGUCACAUCCACCAGAUGGGAGGCAGAAGACCCAAAGGAACAGAGAGCAGAAGAGACGGUUUGCCCCAAAGCCUACACCUGUCUACCUCAGGGCUUCUCAGAUCAGAGCAGAAGCACUUCUCAAGCCCCUGGAAGAUUGGAUGGUGCCUGCCUAUACGGAGGGCGGAUCUUCCCCUCCUCGUCCACUCAGACUCACAUGCAAGUCUCCUCUAGAAACACCCUUGCAGACACACCCCAAAAUGACACUUUUAGAGAAGCUGUGUGUGCUCCCGAAACUGCCAUGCAGGACCUCAGUAGAUGUGUGCCAUAGAACCACAAGCAAGCUCAGAUAAAUGACUAGGAAGCAGGAAGAUGCAUCUGAUGGCUUCUCUGCAUGAAGACCAAAUAAAAGGAACCUUGUACGUGGACUCUUUUUAAAAAUUAAAAUUUAUUUUGUUUCUUGCAUCUAAUAUAGAAAUAAUUCAUAUUCAUUGUGGAAGAUCUGUGGGAAAAAAAAUAGAAAGAAAAAAAGACUCACCUGUCAUCUACCAAACACCAAUAGACACAAUUGAAAUGAUGAUGUGUUUCUAAUGUUUUUUUUAUAAAGAUCUUUUCAUAGCUAUGUUCAUCCUGAAAAUUCUGAAAAGAGCAGCAACAUUUCCAGUACAUUAUUGAUAUGCACACACAUACAGUAUAUACACAUUGUAUUAGACUGUUCUGGCAUUGCUAUAAAGAAAUACCUGAGAUUGAGUAAUUUAUAAAGAAAAGAAGGUUUAAUUAGCCACAAUUCUGCAGGCUGUAAAGGAAGCAUGAUGUUGGCAUCUGCUCGACUUCUGGAGAGGCUUCAGGAAACUAACAAUCAUGGCAGAAGGUGAAGAGGAAGCAGGCACUUCACAUGGCCAGAGCAGGAGCAAGAGAGAGAGGGCGGAGGUGCUACACACCUUUAAAUGACGAGAUCUCAUAAAGAAGUCACUCACUAUUGCAAGGACAGUACCAAGGGGAUGGUACUAAAUCAUUCAUGAGAAAUCUGCCCCCAUGAUUUAAACACUUCCCACCAGGUCCACCUCCCAUAUGGGGAAUUACAACUGAACAUGAGAUUUGGGUGAGGACACAGAUCCAAACCAUAUCAGAUAUAAAGUAUGUAUAUAUGAAAAGGUAAUGGGAAUGUUUAUCAUAUGUUAUAUAUAUUCCUCCACUUUAUAUAUAAUAUAAAUAUUGAGAUAUAAACAUUAUGAAUAUAAAUUAUAUAUGUAAAUAUAAAUUAUAAUUAUAGGCUGGGCAUGGUUGCUCACGCCUGUAAUCCCAGCAUUUUGGGAGGCCGAGGCAGGCAGAUCACUUGAGGUCAGGAGUUUGAGACCAGCCUGGGCAGCAUGGUGAAACCCCAUCUCUACCA
rnacentral:lncRNA from 1 species